rnacentral:rRNA from 1 species
GAAUUGCGAUAAGUAAUGUGAAUUGCAGAUUUUCAGUGAAUCAUCGAAUCUUUGAACGCACCUUGCGCUCCUUGGUAUUCCGAGGAGCAUGCCUGUUUGAGUGUCAUCGAAUUCUCAACCGAAAUCAUUGAUUUGAUUUUGGCUUGGAUGGGUGGAGGUUGCUGGCGUUCGUUCGUCAGCUCUUCUGAAAUGCAUUAGCGACAUCGUGGGGCUUGUCUUAUGACAUGCACGGCCGUCCGACGUGAUAAUGAUCGUUGUGGCUGGAGUGUCAGAUGAGAGUUGGCUUGCAUGUUGCUUCCAAUGAUGGUUAUAUAUUAAUGAUGAACGUUUGACCUCAAAUCAGGUAGGACUACCCGCUGAACUUAA